CCUACGGGUGGCAGCAGUGAGGAAUAUUGGUCAAUGGACGCAAGUCUGAACCAGCCAUGCCGCGUGCAGGAAGACGGCUCUAUGAGUUGUAAACUGCUUUUGUACGAGGGUAAACCCCGAUACGUGUAUCUGUAUGAAAGUAUCGUACGAAUAAGGCUCGGCUAACUCCGUGCCAGCAGCCGCGGUAAUACGGAGGAUUCAAGCGUUAUCCGGAUUUAUUGGGUUUAAAGGGUGCGUAGGCGGUUGGAUAAGUUAGAGGUGAAAUCCCGGGGCUCAACUCCGGCACUGCCUCUGAUACUGUUGGGCUAGAGUUUAGUUGCGGUAGGCGGAAUGUAUGGUGUAGCUGUGAAAUGCAUAGAGAUCAUACAGAACACCGAUUGCGAAGGCAGCUUACCAAACUACGACUGACGUUGAGGCACGAAAGCGUGGGGAGCAAACAGGAUUAGAUACCCUGGUAGUC
rnacentral:rRNA from 1 species